rnacentral:lncRNA from 1 species
UAACAUCCCGAUGAACUUCUUUAAAGAAUGGGUAGUGAGCCCGUAGAAGUAUAAGCAGCAUAAGCAGUAGAUAAUAGUGUAACACGUGACCAGUGUGCUAACACUUCAACCAACACCAUAAAGCAUAAAAGGUGUCCGCAAGUUGGUUGUAUCUAUCUACAUAAUUUUAUGUAAGAAUAGAAUGUUCACUUUUGUGUUGUUUAGCAUAGGAGGGUCUCACUCCUAAUUUAGCUAAAGAAUAGGCUUUCAAAACGAGCAAUGAGCAUUGCAGGGGGUCAAUGCGACAUCGAGGAAAGGCCGGUACACCUUAAUUGCUUGAGGAAUUGACCGGACGACCUCCAGGAAGUUGGAGUCGUGUUCGGGUGACGUCAAUGUCCCCCGGGUCACCACCAUGCUUCAUGGUGAUGCUAGGUCUCGAAUGUCUUCGUUUUGAGCGGAAGAAUGGAUGUCCAUGAGAAUUUCUCAAAAUUUGGAUCAUUAUAUCUCUUCCAGGUUGACCAAUUUAGUCAAACCAAAGCCUAUAUGAGUCAGUGUCCCAAAUAUCAUGUUUGGCAACAACAUGAGAUUCGAUAUUCGAAUCAUAGUGACAUACAGUCCACUAGAUUGACUCAUGAAUUUCUCCAAGAUGCGCUUCAGCCCGCAUUCAUGAGAAGGUAUACACAAAAGAAUUCUUGUUCAUUCUCACAAUGUGUUUUCAAAUGAAAACCAUUAGCAUGAAUGUCUUUAAAGCUCAACAUGGUUCCUUAAAAUGUUGUGGAUAGUUCCACUAUCUGCGAAGCACUCAAUGUCUCUAUGAGACAUAACUACAAGGAGUAGAUAGGCGAGUAAAUAGUUCUACUUGAACCAUUUAGAAGGAUUGAAAGAAGCUACGAAAAGCUGCAAUCCCGAGAGUGCAUAAAAAUUGCCGCGCAGAAUGACCUUUGCGCACUAAAACAGCCAUAACUUCUUCGUUAAAAUAGAUAUGGACAAACCGUGAAAAUUUACUGAAAACUAGACUCAUAGAGAUUUCCAAUGAUAUAAAGCUCACUGUCUGGUUCGUCCGGAGCUGUUCACAAAGCUCAAACGAAGUUGACUGUCCAGAAGGGACAGAUUGCUGUUUUUCGCAGAUUUGGCAUGUGCGAAGCU